UUGCUGCCGACACGGCCGCACUGGGCCCAGCCCACUGCGAGAGAAUGCAAUAAAGUUUCUUAAACGCUCACGAGGCCUCCUGGCCUGGCUCCUUGCCGGCGGGGACCCCACAGUUUGGUGCUGGAACCCAGGAUGCACAGGAGCCCGUAGGGACCCCCACCCCCGGCUGCGGGCUCCUCCCGACCACACUGGCCACUCCAGUUUGCGGUUAAAGUGAGCCCCUGCACCCCAGGCUCCACCAGUCCGUUUGUAUUGGAGUGUCAGCCUCGGACCAGCUCGCCUCAAGUUCACAAAAAUUCCCAAGGAACUCUAGCUACACGGCAAUCCCAGCCUCCCUACAUACAUGGGCCGACUCCAGUCUAUCCUUCCACUACAAGGUACAUGGAGGACUCCCAUUCCAACUCAUGCACCUCGAUGAAAUUUAUAACUUCAAAAUCACGGAAAUGACUAAAGGAACACUCACAGGCAGGGCUGUACAGUUACUCCAGUCAUACUUAACAUAACUGAGCACUCCUCCAAUAAAGGCCCCAUCUUAAGACCAGUAACAACCAACACCGUCAUAGUAUCUCAGGCCCCUCUCUGCAUCAACAGGACACACCCUGCAGGAAAGGUUUUAGGAUAUCUUGAUCAACGCCUAUGCCACUUUACUCUUGAAAUUCAGCCCUCUUUCAAGCGUUGGGCAAGUUAUAUAGUUACCCAAACAGCCUACUUCUCAAAGCCUGUUCAAUUCUCAGCCUGGCCUACCAUCUCAGCAACCUUCCCAACAACUGACACUUCCCAGUUCUGUUCAGGUCGACCUCUUUCCUGCAUUAACUACUUCCCCUGGCAGGAUUGCAAAUCACAAUUACGUUCUAACUGCCGCCAAAUCCCCUCCCUUGUCCUCACACACUCCAAAUUUUGGGUAGACACUGACAGAAAAUAUAUUUUUUUUGAGAAUACCACCACAGGGGCUACACAGGUCAAUCCUGAAGGCCCUUUUCAGCUCCUUACGGGGGCAACCUUAGCUGGAACUCUUUCUGUUUGGGAAAAUGAAAACAACAAGCUCACUCACCUCUUCACCAUCGAAAAAACCUUCUGCUUAAAAAAUCAAGGAAUCUUGUUACUGUGUGGUACCAAUACCUACCUCUGUCUCCCAGCCAACUGGACUGGGACCUGUACCCUAGUCUAUCACCCCUGAGAUAGACAUUGCCCCUGAUAACCAGCCCUUUAAGGUUCUCACCGCUUACUCGGGGCCAGGAAGGACAAACUAGAUGAUAGGGCCACAAAAACUGACAGCUUUCAGAACCCUGGGGCACCUGGCCACAGAAUCUAAAUUGGACCUCUUGGCUUCUGCCUUCAGUUGGAUCCCUCUUAAUGUUCUUUCUGGCACUGAUCUUUGGCUCAUGCAUCCUAAGAGCCAUUUCUUCCUCCCUCCAAAACUACAUCCAGGCUAAGAUCCAUAGGGGAAAUAAUGCUUCUCCAGCCCUACACUAGAUAUCAUCCCCUCCCUCAGUCCCUAACUAGGUAGGGACAGCUCUACGCCCCACCUGAGCAGGAAGAAGCUACAGAAGAAUGAGAUCAACCUCCCUCGUCAGCCCCAGUUCACAGAAGGAAAAUAAAAGGUUAGAAUGCUAGGCAUAUUCUGAAUCAUUCCCCUGCACUCAGUUCUUUUCCAUUAUACCCCACUUGGAUCUCCUGCUCUCUGCGGUUUUCCUGUUAUUCUUAUUUCAGGUGUCACAGAGAAAGCUGACCGGCUGAGAAAAUCGGCUUUAGACCUGACUUCCUGCACCUGCAUCUGGUUCCUGGGGACCUUCACAAGACACAGAUAUCCCACCCUCCCUACUCUUGCUUGCUGACACGGAUAUACUGGUCUCAGCCCACUGUGAGAGAAUGUAAUAAAAUUUCUUAAACUCUAA